AUACGUAGGUGGCAAGCGUUGUCCGGAUUUACUGGGCGUAAAGGGUGAGUAGGCGGUUAUGUAUGUCAGGUGUAAAAGGCGUAGGCUUAACUUACGUUAGCACUUGAAACUGCAUAACUUGAGUGCAGGAGAGGUAAGUGGAAUUCCUAGUGUAGCGGUGAAAUGCGUAGAUAUUAGGAGGAACACCAGUGGCGAAGGCGGCCUGCUGAACGACAACAGACGCUGAGGCGCGAAAGCGUGGGGAGCAAACAGGAUUAGAUACCCUGGUAGUCCACGCUGUAAACGAUGAAUACUAGGUGUGGGGGGACUGACCCCCUCCGUGCCGCAGUUAACACAAUAAGUAUUCCACCUGGGGAGUACGAUCGCAAGAUUGAAACUUAAAGGAAUUGACGGGG
rnacentral:rRNA from 1 species